rnacentral:rRNA from 1 species
AGGACGAACGCUGGCGGCGUGCUUAACACAUGCAAGUCGAGCGGAAAGGCCCUUCGGGGUACUCGAGCGGCGAACGGGUGAGUAACACGUGAGUAAUCUGCCCCUAGCUCUGGGAUAGCUCCGGGAAACCGGGAUUAAUACCAGAUACGACCACUUUAGACAUCUGUUGUGGUGGAAAGAAUUUUGGCUAGGGAUGAGCUCGCGGCCUAUCAGCUUGUUGGUGAGGUAACGGCUCACCAAGGCGACGACGGGUAGCCGGCCUGAGAGGGCGACCGGCCACACUGGGACUGAGACACGGCCCAGACUCCUACGGGAGGCAGCAGUGGGGAAUAUUGCGCAAUGGGCGAAAGCCUGACGCAGCGACGCCGCGUGGGGAUGAAGGCCUUCGGGUUGUAAACCCUUUCAGCAGGACGAAGCGAAAGUGACGGUACCUGCAGAAGAAGCGCCGGCUAACUACGCGCCAGCAGCCGC